UUUUGCGGUGGUCACUCACAAGUCUAUAUUGCGAGCACUGGUCUGCACAGCGUUGGGGCUUGGCCCUGAGAGGUAUGUAUGUUAUGCUGCCAUUUAUAAUAUCCAUUUGAACCAAAAUUAAUAUUGGAUCUCAUAAAAAGAAGUAUAUACUUUGUUAAUAUUUAACACCGUCCAAAUUCCAAAAUCUUGAAGAGAACUCUGUGGUCAAUGUGUUUCAUGGUUCAGGUUUCGAUCAAUCGAGAUAAACAACGGCGGAAUAUCGGUGUUUAAGUUCAAUGAUAGAGGAGAAGCAAUGCUUCAAUCUUUGAAUAUGACAGCACAUAUGUACAGUGAUCAUACCUAUUUAUACUGAAACCAAGCUAAGCUAAGUAUGUAGAAUUAGAAAUGAGAGUUAUA
rnacentral:lncRNA from 1 species